AGCCAUCCUAAAAAGCAGGGAGAAAAGUUCAUUAAAAGUCAGUCAUUUAUUCCCGUGGUUUGAGACCAUGGCUCAUGGAAGGCAACCCUGGAGCCUGGGGGAACUGUCAUCUGUGAAUGUGAGCCUGAGAAGUGUCUGAAAGAGUGAGGAGGGGACCUGUUCAUCUCAUGCAGGGUUUGCUGAGAAACACCAGAGACUCAAAGACAAAAGAGGUAUGUGCAGCUCGUCGAAGAGGAGAGAGAAAGGAUAUAGUGCUACGGAAAUUUAAAAAAUCAUCUCAUUUGACUCCAUUUACCAUGGUUUUCCAGUGCCAACUCCAAAAGCAAGUAUUAUCCUAAGGGUUUAUUUAGGAUGGCACAGUACAUAAAAUCCCUGGGGAUUCAUUCACACCUGCCCAAAAACUUAAUAUAAUGAACAAUUUAUCAAUAUAUCUGGUGGCAUACAAAAGAACAGAAUACUGUUACGGGAACGGGGCCCCUCCAUGAAGAGAGCAGACCCAUUGGAAGAAUUAGGUGGGACUCAGAAAGGAACUGCCCUGGCACUGAAGUGCUGACCUCACAAACGACAAAGACCACCCACCAGGCAGGCGAGGCACUCCUACUGAGUGUUAACGCAGCAUGUGUGGUGGUGCUGGUUUUACCUCCUGGCUAUGAGCGCUCUACGUGUAAGUGGCAUUUUGAUUUUUUAGUUGCUUCUCUGCUAAGGAGUAGAGUGUCCCUCCUUCCAUCCACAGGUCAGGUGAGCCUGAGAAGUGUCUGAAAGAGUGAGGAGGGAACCCGUUCAUCUCAUGCAGGGUUUGCUGAGAAACACCAGACUCAAAGACAAAAGAGCAGCUCAUUAGCUGGGGCCUCCUGUUCACCCUCCAAAACUAACCAGGGUCCAACCGCUUCUCACCUCCUCCAUGGCCAUCGCCCUGCUCCCAGAUGCCACCAUCUCUCACCUGGACCACGGGCACCAUCUCCUGAGCGCUCUCCCCUCCCCCUGCCCCUGAGGACUUGUCACCCACAUAGCACACAGAGGGGUCCUUCAGAGUCCCUGUCUGCUCCCAGCUCACUCAGGUUAAAGCCAGGCCCAUGUAAGAGCCUCCAGCACCCAGCCCGCUUCUCCGCUCUCGGUUCCAACCUCAAAGGCCUCCUAGCUGUUCCUCGUAAAAGCUGAACCCACCAUCCCUCCUCUGGUGUGAUCCUUUCCCUAGGGCAGACGUAGGUUCCCUCACUUCCGGUCACAGGGAGCCCUUCCCUGUCCACUCUGUAAGAGGCACACCCCAUCCUUUCAGACCCAUUUCCUUGCCUUUUAAAAAGAUUCACUGCUGAUACACAUUUGUCUACACAUAACGUUCACCAUCUUUCCUCACUCCAGUGGAAGCUUCAUGAGAAAACGUUAUUUGUACAUAUGGUGCACUCCUGUGCUCCUAACACUACCGCCUAGAGUCUGUCCCAGGACGUACAGCGGCCUCAGUCCCCAGCACGGAUGCCCAUCCGCAGAUGCUCGAGUCCCUGAUACUAAAGGCUGCAGUGCCUGCCUGUGGUCUCCCGUGCACUUUAAAUCGUCUCUGGAUUACUCUUGGUAACUGAUACGAUGUAAAUGCUGUGUAACUAGUUGCCGGACACGACAUAUUCAAGUUUUGCCUUUUGGAGCUACCUGGAAUUUUUGUUUUUUUCAGUAUUUUCAGUCACGGUUGGUUGAAUCGUGGAUGCGGGGCCUGUGGAUAUGAAGGGCUGACUACGUGUUGAAUGAAAGCAUGAGCCAAAGGAAACACCAGGAGGGAGGCGGUGUCUGCGGGCACGUACCCCCUGCGUCUUCAGAUGCGCCAUCCCCACCGACCACACAGAUGCCGGAGUCUUAUGCCGUGAAGCCUAGCAAAUGAUAAACGGGAAAAAGGAAAUCCCAGGAUCACCUGACGAUCCUCCCACCUACGGCCUCCUUCCGCGUAGGCAGAGAGCAGGCUCAGAGGUGCCCAUGACAGCUGGAGCCUGCUUGGCCUCCCGGAACAGGAGGGCUCGGGGACUGGAAAGUGCCCAUUGAAGACAGGGGAGCUGGGGUCCUGACAUGGGCGAAUGGUGCUGCGGGAUCCCUGACAGUAAGAGAAACGAGCUUUCAUACUGUGGCUGAAUCUGCUCUUAACCAGCUCGGUGCUUUGUUUCAUGGUCCAAGCCAAUGCCACGUGCUGGAGUUCUUCCGGGAGGAGUCGGUCUGCAGAGAGAAGUCCGACGGGGAAAUAGACAAGCACUGAGCUGGAUGCCUUUGCUGUGUCCUAACUGUGUUUGGGGCUGCCCCAAAGUGACAGCUGCUUUCCCAAGCAAAGGUGUUGGCAUGGAUGGAAGGACCCAACCGGACUGAGAAACACAUCCAUUCUGUGAACAUGACAGAGUCAGAGAAGAAGACCCAGGGCAGCGGGGAUUCUGUGUGGGCAGAGGGGUUCGAGAGCCCCGUGGCGGACAGCUGGCCGGUGAGAACGGCUGAGGACGGAGAGUGCCGACCUGGAGCAGGUGACAGUUGUCUAACGUAUUCUCACGAGGGGAGGCUGGACCAGAGCUGACCCUUCAUACUCAACGUGUUUGAGUGUCCAGGAUGCUCUGUAAAAGCUGGAUCCAGAAGUUAGUCCUACAGAAUUUCCAUUCUGUCGUCAGACUCUUUAGGGAAAGUCUUGUCUUGCUGGCUGGAGGGUUUCCCUCCCGGUGUCACUGUUGAAUUAUUCUCAUGUGCCCUGAAGAUGCUGUGCUGAUUGGGAGUCAGGCUUCUGAGGACAGGAACUCAGCAGUUUGGUCAGUUAUGUCCCUAACUCCAUGACAAACAACUCGUGGGCUUCCUGAGGGGGGCAGCACACACAACCGUUAGGAACAGCUACACAGAAGAAAUCUGUUCAGGACGGAGAGUCUUUGACUGUAGAAAGGAUUUGUCAGUCAAGCACCAAGAGUGAGAAAAAAACAAAGGAAGUACCCGGGGUCAAAUAAUCGUGGGAAUCAACUUCCCAAAGCCCAGCACCUGGAGUUGGUGCGACCCCUGCUCAGACCAGGAGAUGCCCUCGGGACAGCGCUGGCUCAGGCUGCAUGGCCCUUCUUGGAAGAGAUGCUGUAACUUAGCCCCAGCCCCUGGGAACCCAGCUGUGGGAACAUAUCGGGAGGGGCGUGAGUGUCAGCACAGUGCGGGGGUGGGGGUGCUCAGCCAACCAAGACUGCCUGGCAUUUCCCAUCCCGCUCCCCGGCUGUCCCGGGCCUGCGUCCCCAGGGGUGUUGGGCUUUUCCUGCCUUUCACAACAAGUGCUGGGUCCAAGAUGCUCUGGGACAAUCUUUCCCUGAUAUUCUUUUUGAUGAUGGCUCCUCUCUGGUUUUACUGAUGGAGAGAUUCUGUCUUGUUUUUGAGAAAGAGAAUUCUGGGUCAGAAAACAGCCUCAACACCUCGGAGUGGUGGUCUGAAUUACAGCCUCCUGCAGAUCCAACUUGGUCCCAGCCUGAAGGCAAAAUAGCUUCAGUGUUUUAUUAAUAAUGCUGCUAUAAUAUGCGAUGUAUAUACAUGUGUGUGUACGUAUGUAUAGAGUUUACAACGUGCCAGCCAUUCUUCUAAGCAUGUUACAUCUGUAGACUCAUUUAGUUCUCAUAAAAAGUCUGUGAUUGAGCAUUAUUGUUCUUAUAUAUUCUUUCAUAAAUAAGGAAGCUGA